rnacentral:rRNA from 1 species
UACGAAGGGGGCUAGCGUUGUUCGGAAUUACUGGGCGUAAAGGGCGCGUAGGCGGUACUUCAAGUCAGGCGUGAAAGCCCCGGGCUCAACCUGGGAACCGCGCUUGAGACUGGAGAACUAGAGUUCGGGAGAGGAUGGUGGAAUUCCCAGUGUAGAGGUGAAAUUCGUAGAUAUUGGGAAGAACACCGAUGGCGAAGGCAGGUCUCUGGGCUGACACUGACGCUCAUGCACGAAAGCGUGGGGAGCAAACAGG